GACUUGGUGGCUCAGUUGUUAGAGCGCCCGCCACAUGAACGGGAGGUCGUGGGUUCGAACCCCGGCCGAGUCA
rfam:Strongylocentrotus purpuratus Contig87788_fixed, whole genome shotgun sequence.